rnacentral:lncRNA from 1 species
UUCCCAUUCCAACCCUAGAGCGUUGCGGCUCUCCUCCACUGCGUGCUCUACCAUCAUUUUCCACCUCCGCAAUGUGUCGCCUCCUCCUGGUCCACCACAACUUGUGUCGUCUUUCACGAUCUUCUCAAACUAGGCUCUUCCUUCUCCUACGCGGACGUCUCGGGUCUUCCUCCUCUGUGUUCGUGACGACUUCUCUUCUGUUUCACGGUGGUCUGGGCUCCUUCGCUUCUUCCUCCUACCAUCAUUGUGUCUAGUGGUUGUUGUCUCCAAUGGGGUUCUUCCCCAAAUCAUUUGUGUCGUACUCCUCCUCCCAUCUUAUCCUCACAAGUGUGCACCAACCAGUGAAUGAUUUUGCUUCUUCCCACAGUUUGUGCUCUGUUCGUUCAUUUUUUCUUUUCAUUUUCUUAAUUUGAACACAAUAUUCCAGUUACUAGGAUUGAGUUUUGGGAUUGAAAGAUUGAACUUAAACAUGUAUCUUGGUGGAGCUGAAUUCCAUAUUUGAACUUUGUAGAAGGUGAGUUUAAUCUAUUUAUUUGGUAUUUUCAUUUUGUUGUUGACUUUUGAAAUUUAUGGUGGGAGUGGUCAAAGCAUUAUCUCUAAUUGUUUAUUUUAGUAGGAUUUAGAAUGAAUAUCUAUGACUAACUGGUUCAGUUAUCCAUUUAGUUGUUUUUACAUUUGUCACUACCUUUUAAUGUGUUCGCCAGUUGUUAGGGUUGACUCCCUUUUGGUGCCAUUGGGCAUGUUUUUAUAUGGGCCUAGUUAUCUAUUUUGGGCUUUAAAUUAAGUAGGUCCAAAAAGACAUGUUUAAGUGCUCGGGUCCGGUACAUAGCCUCCCACCCUCGAACCGAGAAGGACGAGGCGAAGAGGCUUACCUAUGCCAGUUUUGAAAAGACAUUUGGUUUUGAGGGUGGUUGGUUCAAAAAUUUUGAAGUGUCACCUGAUGGGACGGUUUCGUCCCACUAAUUAUAGUACGUACAUGUGUUAUGCCAUCAACGGUUGAGAAACACUGUCGUUUUAACUUUCCCUUUGAAAAGAUUAAAAACUUGUUUCUUCCUCAUUUUACUUGUUACGCUUGCAUAGAAUUAUCAAAGAAAAGAAAACUUUCUCUUGCCUUCAGAGUGCCACCUUGCUCCACUGCAAACCAUCAAAAAUCAGGUAUGUUUCAUCAUACAUAUCUCCUUUUGGGCAAUGGCUUUGAUUUCGUUUGGACAAUACUCUUCAUUAUGAUUCAAUUGGUUUGUUAUAUAUAUAUAUAUAUAUAUAUUUAUUUUUAUUUUUUUUUCUAAACUAUGCUUCGUACUUUAUUGUUGUGUAUGUUUUAGUUGCUUUUAAAGAUGGAUUAUGCCUCUACUUACCCUUAGGCCAAAAGAGAACUUCUAAACGAAACCUCUAUUUAUACCACUCGUUUAAAGAUUAGAGAGUUAAGGGAGUUGGGGGGUUUAAGUAAAAAAGACGAAAACUUAGUGAAGGUAGUAGUAUGUAGAGAGGACGGACCGGUGUGUUGUGAUGAGACAUCAGACCCUGAUGGGCCUUUUGUUUCUUUUAUACCACCUUUUUCACCAAAGUCAUGUUGUGUCAUCCUCUCUCAGCUUUUUAAAAAGAGUUGUUGACCGAGCUUAACACGGCUACUGCCCAGCUGCAUCCGAACAGCUGGGCAUUAAUCCGAGAUUUUGUUAUUUUGUGCACCCAUCUCGGAAUCUUGUCGACUGUGGAAGUAUUCUUUUAUUUUAUUUUUUAGUUUAAACACUCUGGUGUACAACUUUGGGCUUCUUUAAAUGGUGUUCCUAGAAGAGGUCUACUCACUCUCUUCCAAUCGUCUUACAAAAACUUUAAAGGCCGAUUUAUAAAAGUUCGUGCCUCGGUCAGUGACCCAUCUUUGUUAGAUGGUUUUCCCUUGUAUUAGUCGCCCAACCCUUGCUUCUAGUGUGUUCGACGUCUCGAAAACUUGUCCCAAGGGAGCGGCGUAUUUGCGAAUUCCUGGAGAGCCUCAAAUUUUUUUUUUGACACAUAGAUGCUUUUGACAAGAGAAUACCUAUUGGGUUCUCUCAAAGCUUACAUUGGUAUACACCCUUUCUAGCUUAAGCUUUUCAAAGAUGUUUAGAUUUUUAAGCCUUUUUGUUUGUUUUGUGGAGAACAUGCUUUCCUCGAUCAACAAGACCGAGUUGGCCGAACGUGCGAGGCGGAUGAGGGCGACCAAGGUUAAUUUAGUAACGAAUGAGAGUGCCCCAACUGGCGUCGUUCACGUUCAUUCCAAGCAGAAUGAACGUACUACUUCUGCGUUAGUUUUUAAGAGAAGGAGAUCGGAACUACCAAUUCCUUCAGAACACUCAUACUCGAAUGGCCGAGCUACUACCCAAAAUGCUCUGACAAUCCAAGAAUGUGAAGUUGUUGGAAGCUCGAAAGGAAAGAGAUGUGGGAUCCGAGUUUUGACAUCUCAGCCCAUAAUAGAUUAUGCUUCUUACUAGAAGAUGAUGUAGCAAGGCUAAAGAUUUGUGAUGAAGACCGACUCCGCCACGACGUUGAAAGUUUGCUCGGCCAAGCUAUUGCGCUAGUGUCUUUGUCUAACAUCGGGGUGGAAGAGCAUAAGAGAACUAAAGGCAAGAAAACUCAACAGAUUGCCCAACUUCAAAAGGAGAAUGAGCACCUUCAAGCUGAGACCGUAGAGGUCAAUCGCUUACGCUUGGAGUUGGUUACCAAGACUCAGGAAGGGCAUGUUCUGACCAGAGAGAAAACCGAUUUAGCUAAUAAGGUUAAUAUGUUGGAGAAGAAAAUGGGAGACCGGGAAUAGGAGAUGGCUCGUAAAGAAGCCGAACUCUAGAAGAUGAUUGACACACUAAAAGAUUAUGUGACCCAGUCAUAUGUCGUCGGCCGUCGGCUUUGAGGCCGCCAUGGAAUAAACAACCAUUGUUCACCCCUUGGUGGCUUUUUCUGAGUUGAGCCCAUGCAAAGUGGUGGUUGAUGGGAAACUUAUUGGGGAGUCUUAAUUAUUCUUACCAAUUCCCAAAUCUAUGAACAAUGUUUGACCCUUAUAUGUAUAUUUGACAUUUCAAUUCGGUCAAUGUUUAUUGUUCAACAUUUUUGUAUAUUUUUAAACUUAUAACCUCCUUAGUUAUGCCUUUUCAUGUGUCAAUGAUUUUUCCUGGUGUACUACUAGAGCGCCCAGACAAAAUAAGACAAUAGGGAUGUCUUUUAGCAUUGAGUUUCCAUUCUAUGGUCAACCGAGUUGUUUGGUGUCUUCGAGUUGAUUCGUCUUUCGUUGUUUUUCAAUUUGAUAUGCAGAUAGUGAUGUUGCAUAGUUGGUCCGACCUUAGGGUUCGUUCAAACCAAUAUGUGUAAACAAUUUCGUCAAGUAAGUCUGACCCUCAGGGUUCGGCUAGAACGAUGUGUUGAGAAUAACGUUAUCAAGGUAUUCGAACUCAGGGUUCAACUAAAAUAAUAGUAGAAGACGACAUCACCAAGUUAGUCUGAUUUUAGGGUUCAGCUAAACGAUGUGUAGAGAAUAAUGUUACCCGAUUAGUCUGACCUUAGGGUUCGACUAAAACGAUAUGUAGAAGACAAGAUCACUGAGUUAGUCCGACCUUAAGGUUCGGCUAAACGAGGUAAGAGGCUAACUGUGGAUCUUUUGCUUGCUAUUCACCGGAUACAUGCCCUGUUAUGAGCAUUGAAUCGUUCUUUGCUAGAAAAUAGUGAGCUCCCAAUUCCUUUGCCAACAACAUUCCCGCUAUUAGGGCCUCGUAAUCAGCCUUGUUAUUGUUUGCUUUAAAUGCGAAUUUGAGGGAAUUCUCGAUUAGGAUGCCAUUCGAUCGUUCUAGGAUGAUGCCGACUCUGCUCCCUUGCAAAUUGGAGGACCCAUCGACAGAGAGGAUCCAUAGGAAGUCGUUGGAAUCACCUUUAGGGCCUCGUAUUCAGCCUUGUUAUUGGUUUUCUGGAAUCAAACAUAAAACAGUUUUUUAUUGGUUGAACAAAAUUUUCAAUUGAUUGAUUCUUCAUAACUUUUCACUCUACCUUCAAUACUUGUGAAAAUAUUUCAUAAACAAUUCAUCUCCCCUCUUGUUUAGCUCUCUAAUUCUAACACUUUAGUGUUGCUUAGCUCAAAACUGCAUUAGCGUACAUUCUAAGGUAUUUUGUACACAAGUGGCCCCUCUCUAAGCCAUAUAUCCUCCCAGAACUUUAUCCUAUUUUUAGAUUCUACUCUCCAAGCCACACUUUCCUCAAACUAGCUCUUUUCUUCUCCAGCUCUAGAUAGAUCAUGUAGGUAUCUCCAUCAUCAUGACUUCCCCUUUGUACUCUUUGUAUAAUUCAAUUUCCUCCAUGACCCAUACUUUGACUCUACGAUAUUUUUAAAUAAUCCCUUGCUUUCUAUUCCUAAUCUCCAUUUCCAUUUUUCUACUAAGGCUACAUUAAACAACAUCCUCUAGGUGUUGGUUUUUUUGUGUUUUGAUAGAGACACGUGUCUCUCUUGAUUUCUUGCAUACGGGUUGGAGCAUCCCUUAAAUGCUCCAAUUAAUAUAUUUAUUCUUUUCUGAUAAAAAAAACUUGAUGUCUUUAAUCUCCAAUCCUUCCUUAUCCAUAGAUUUACAUAUGUAUGCCCAUUUAACCCAGUUAUCUUUUGUCCUAACAUCCCCAACCCUAUUAAAUUUUCCUUUGUAUUUUCUUGAUCACUUCACAAAUACAAGAUGGUGUCGUAAAGAGAACAUGUAUUAUAUGGGUAGGGUUAUAAAGAUAGAUUUCACGAGACACACUUGAUGUACAAAGGACAAGACCCUACCUUUCCAUCUUGUUAAUUUGUUCUUGCUUUUAUUCUAGAUGGAUUGCCAGUAUUGUUGUUUCCUUGGAUUCCCCAACACUCAUACCUAAAUAGUUAAACAAUUAGUGGCAUUAACAACAAUUCAAAAAAAUUUAGAACCUCUUCAGUUCAUCCUCCCCAAUGUUAAACCUUCAAUCAUUUUUUUACAAAAGUUAACUAUAAUAUUGAAUGAAAGCUCAAAGCAUCUAAGCAUCUAAGUAUGCUUUUAGCUACAAAUAUAUUUUGAAUUUUUAGUUUGCAUAAAAACAAUGUAUCAUUUGAAAACUAAAACAUAUUAACCUUUAUAUCUAUGUUCCCCACCAUAACUCAUUCUAACAUAUAUUUUUUAAUUUCUUGUCUCACAACUCUAGCUAGAUCUUUUGCCACUAUCAGAAAUAAGAAAAGGGCCAACAAGCCACUUUGUUGGUUUAAAAUCCUAGGUUUGAUUAACAUUAACCAAAAUAGAUAGUGGAUGACUCCAUAUAUCAUCUAUUUCCUUUAGUGCAAAAACCUAGCCUCCAACAUAUAAUAGAAAAACUCACAUUUAACCAAAUCAUAGGUUUUUUCAUCGUCCACUUUAACUAAUAAACAUUUCUUUCUUUUGCAUCUCACCUCCUAUACAAGCUUAUUGAGAACUAAAACACUAUCUAAUAGUCCUCUACCUUUAAUGAAUGUAGAUUUUGUAAUAUAAAUUAUGUUAGAUUUCAAUGUAGUUGUAUAAUACUUUGACUAUUAUCUUAUAUAUAUAGUCCACUAUCUAUAUUUAUUCCUUUAAUCUUAUUCCUGAUUUUUCUUCGAUUAAUGGUUGAAUGGAAAUAUCUAGUAUUAGAAUCACCUUUUUCUAAUCAUUUGACCCUUGAUUUUUGCUUCAUUAACACUUCUUGCCUAUAAUUCACCACUCUAAGUUCAUUCCAUAAAUUAACUACAUUCCUUUAUUUAUUUCUUCUUUGUUGAUUCCUCAAUAAUUUACCUACAAUAUAUUUACUUAAACAUAUAUGAACAACUAAUUUAAUUAUUUUUUUUAUUUCAUUAAUUAACAUAUUUGAAUAGUUAUAAAUUAGUCAUUUUUUUGUCAAUAAAGAAUAAUGAAUUAAAAUUAGAGCAUUUAAGGGAUGUUCCAACCUUAUUACAAAAAUUGUUGGGUUAUAUGUCAUUAUAGCCCAUAUAUCACCCUAUAGGCAUUAGUCCCACAAAAGUGACACGUUACUGCACUAAUAAGAUAUUGUAUAGCUUUAAACCUCCCAACAACUUUCUAAUCUCUCCCUCUAUUUCUAUUAUAGAUUAAAUACAACUAUAUAAAGACAAUAUAAGUGAGGCGGGUAUUAUUUAUCUUAUAACAUAGUUGAACUAGUUCAGAGUUGUGUUGGCACAACUUUUGUCAAAAUACUGGCCCUCACGAAAAAGAUGUUAGAUUACCAAUAAAGAGUGGUGUUGCUUUUAUAGUUUCCACCGUGAUAAAUUUCAGGAGCAUGGAUGAUAGGGAUGUUUGCAUGUUUCUCUACUUAAGCUUCCUCCCUUGAUUUAACAAUUACAUUUGGUCUUGCUCGUCACCAUCUAGUUUUCUUUAACACAAAUUCCUUCAUUGUACUCUUCUUACUGUAUAUAAAUUUAGCUUUCCUUGUUUUCAUUUAGCUAUAUUUAUUUCAGAAUCCUUUUUCCAUAGUACUUGCAUAGAGAGCACUUCCACCACUACAAGAAAAACGUUGAUUAGCUACCAAGGAUUUGCGUUGGCCAAAAGAUGGACGCAAAUAGCGUCGGCCAAACCCACAAUAAGUGGACACAAAAGAAGUAGCGUGGGUCAAGCCCACUCUAAACUGAUGUUAAUAAAAAAAUUGAUAAAAAUAACACGUGUCGGCUUGUGCGACAUAAGAAAUUAAAUCUUUUAAUAUUUGUGUAUAGUUAGCAUCGACUUUAUCAUUGGCUUGGCUGACACAAAAUUGAUCUGAUAUUAGCGUCGGCUUGGCCAACGCAAAAUUGAUAUUAUAUCCCGCACUUGCCAUUUCCCCCUUGUGCAUUUCAUUUUCCCCAAAUUCCCAACCCUGGCACCGCGGUUCUCCUCUGUGUACUUUGUCAUCCACCACUGCCUUCGCAAGUUGCCUCAUCUUGUUCUGUCGGAACCUGCGUUGUCCUACAUGAUUAUCUCGGAUUGAGCUUCUUCUUCAUCUCAGUUCUUCCUCCUUCGUGUUUGCAAUGGCUUAUCUUCUCCUCCACGGUGGUCUUUGCUUCUCCUCCUCUUCCUCUCACCAUUGUGUCUGAUGGUUUUUGGCUCAAGUGAAGCUGAAUUCUAUAUGUGAACUUGGUUGAAGGUGAGUUUAUUGGAUUUAUUUGGUCUUUUUGUUUUCUUGUUGGAUUUUGAAAUUUAUGUUCGAUUGGUAGCUUAUUUGAACAAACAUGAACUUAUUAAAUAACUCUUUGUUCAAAUUUAAUUUGCAAUUACAAUUUUAUGCUUAAUUUGAAUUAAGUUCUCAUUUAAAAUUGAUAUUUGAAUUGAUAUCUUAAUGAUUUAGGAAUCAAGUUGAGAAUUUUUUAGCUUUCUAUUCAUGCUAGAUUUUUUCCCUAUAUGCUUAUUUAUGUGUUGGCGUAGCCGAUGCAAAAGCUCAUGCCAUUGUGUCCCAUUUUAAAGUCAACACAAACACAUUUUUCUUUCAUGAUUUAGCAUCCGUUAGGUAGUCGACGCAUAGCCAACAUUUAUGCGUCAUUUUUCGUCUCUUAGCAUCUGUUAAUGGCUAACGUUAAUUUACAUUUUGUUGUAGUGUACCUUCGUGCAACAUAUGUCAAAAUUCAAAGGUUCAUACAGAGAAUAAGAUAGUUAUCAACCUUUAGCAAUACACUCCCUAAAUGAAUAACGCUAGUACCAACCAAAUCACUCUCAUCUCAAUUUUGAACCAUUUUAGUUAGAAUACUGUAUUUUAAUACACCAGAGGCUACAUAAAAUAAUAUUACAGUGCUUUUAAACAUUGCAUUAUGCUAAGGCACAAAUCUGAAUAUGAAAAAGGUACUGCCUUCAUGUUUAUGUUUAAUUUAUGAUGAAUCAUUUUGUUGUGCGCAUUAUAUUUCCUUUGCAUCCAUUUUCCUUGCCUAAAUAUGACCGAAUUCCAAUGAUUCCAUAUGCCCCAUAAAAUUGCUAUCCAUAGACUCUUUCAAAUUAUGUUUUGUUUUUCAUUUUGGUUCAUUGGGUAAAAGUGUUGAAAAUCAUUCUUAAGCUUAUUAUGUUUCAUUGAGCUAACCCCAUCCACCUAUGACAUUUGUCCCAUAUUAUUUUGCAGGUUGGGAUCAAGUUGGAGGUUGUCUCAUAUUUUUCCUUACAUGAUGCACAUAAACAUAUUAUCCAGCUGCAUCCCUCUUUGCACUAAAUUAACCCUUGCUGGAAUCUUGUCCAAAAUCACUCUCCACCCAAAGCGAAGCGCACUAGGGAGAACCUUCCAGCUCCAUAAGAACUUAAAUAAACAAUUACUUUUACCAAGGAAAUUGCAUAGCAACAUGUCAUAAGUAGACCUCACUGAAUAUAUAUGUACCGACCCGUCCUCGGGCGUUAGACCAAAGUCAAACACUUGGUAGGACCCAUCAGGGGCGCCAUGAGGUGAGAAAGGGAGUCGACCAGGCCUCGAGCGUUGACCAACCUCGGGUGUUGACCGACCUCAGGCGUUGGCUGGGUUCGGACCAAGAAGUGUUUGUUGUUGAACCAAGUGGUGUUCAAGCUUUGAAGAAUCCAAAUCCUUUGAAGGAUGUUGAAGCCUCUGCUGUGCUUGGUGUUGCUGUGCUGGUUUAGCUUAGUUCUGGGGUAGUUUAUAUGUUAUAAUCCACCCUUUGAUUAAAUCUAAAGCAUUAGCAAUCUCAAUCUUUGUGAAAGUAAAAUGUUUUCAAACUAAGUUAAAACAACCGAUUGUUUUGUCAAAACAACCGAUUGUUUGUACUUAGGUGUUUUGAGAAAAAGAUUGAAAAUUGUUUUUAAAAUGGUUGAACUGUUAAGUACCAAAACAACCGAUUGAUUCGAGGAAACAACCGAUUGUUUGUUUUGGGACCAUAACAGAAAAACUGUUUUCUGUUUGACUGAGCUUUAAAUGUUUUAACUGCAUACGCUCUAGUCAUUAAAUGCUUUGACCAAUCUUUUAAAGCAAUUCAAGAGUUUGUUAAGAUUUGAUAACAAACUACAUCUUUGAAUAUAUUCAAAAAAACAUAUUUGACAAUUGAUCUUUGACAAGUUUUUGCUAAGAGUUUUUGAGUUUUUCAAAGAGCUAAGAUUGCUAAGAGUGUGUGAUUGAUCAAAGUUGUGGAAUAGGAUUAUGCUUGUAUUGAUUUCAGAUUAUCUUCUGUAACAAGUGUAAUCCUUGUAUUCUCUGUAAAGACAAGUUUCGUUUCUGUGUUUGCUAAGAUUGGUUGUGUGUCCUUGAGGGGAUCAAGAUCAACAAUCUUGGUGUAGAUGUGUUGACCAAGGAGAGUGUGUUUCUUGAGGUGUUCAAGGUCAUUCUCGUGGUUGUUGUGUAAGUGAUCAAGGUGUGGUUGCUUAGUGGAUUUCCUCAGGGUUUCUGAGAAGACUGGAUGUAGCUUUGGAUUUGGAGUGAACCAGUAUAAACAACUGUAUACAAUCUCUCUAUCUCUAACUCUUUAAAUUCAGUUUUAUUUGUUGUUUGCUGGUAUAAACAACCGAUUGUUUCUGUGAAACAACCGAUUGUUUUUCUGGUACUGCAGCUUUUGCUUGUUGUUUUGGCGAACUGAAUUUCUGAAUCAAUUGUUUCCUGAGAUAAAUUCAUUCUUGUUUUAAAAGUUUGCGAAAAUUCUCUUUAAACAAUUCACCCCCCUCUAGUUUAAAGCCAUCCAUUCUAACAAUUGGCAUCAAGAGCUUGGUUCUUGAAAGUUAUUCAAGUUGAUCAAAAAUCUUUUUUCUAUGGCUGGAAAACUAUCUUUUGAGGCAGGUGCUUCAAUCUACAAACCACCUUUAUUCUGUGGAUUGAAUUAUUAAGGUUUUGGGAAGCAAGAAUGAAAAUCUUUAUUGAAUCUAUUGAUAAAAGAAUUUGNNNNNNNNNNNNNNNNNNNNNNNNNNNNNNNNNNNNNNNNNNNNNNNNNNNNNNNNNNNNNNNNNNNNNNNNNNNNNNNNNNNNNNNNNNNNNNNNNNNNGAGAAUGGUCCUUACAUUCCAAAGUUCAAAAAGGAUAAUUCUUUCAUUGCAAAACCUUUGUCCAAAUGGACAAAUGAUGAAUGUAAGAUGACCCAACUUGAUUGGUCUGCCCAAAACAUUAUAGCUUUUGCACUAGAUACUAAUGAAUUUUUCAGGAUAUCAAAGUGCAAAACUGCCAAGGAUAUGUGGGAGACUCUCAAGGCUGCUCAUGAACCAAAGGAAGCAAUGACAAAGAGUCAAGCAAGAAGGAAAAGAAGGCAAAAUAAGAAAAGCCUCAAUCUUUGCUUCAUGGCCAGAAGGGAGGAUGACUCAAGUAGUGUAAGUUCAUCAAACUCCUCAAACUCUGAAAAUUAUGGUCAAUUGCUUCAAGCCUUUCGAGAAACACAUGAAGAAGCCAACCGAUUGGCUCUCUUGAACAAUCGGUUAAAAGAAAAGAACAGCUGGCUUGAAAACAGAGUAAAGGCACUGGAAGAGGAUUUAGAAAAUUCAAAAACAGAUUUUGAAAAUCUGGAAAUCAUUUACAAAAACUCCUCUUGCAAGUGUGAUACUCUAGUUUGUGAAAAUUGUGAAAAUCUUGAAAAGAAUGUCCACUAUCUUGUUAAAACAGUGGAUAAGCUUUCUAAAGGCCAAUCCAACUUUGAGAGAGUUCUAGCAUCUCAAAACUGUGUUUUUGGAAAAUCUGGAUUGGGUUUUAAUCCACAAAACAAACAAGAUAGAUUUUCAAAAUCUUUUUCGAAAAUUCCAGAAAAACAAUCGAUUGGACCAUCGAAAGAACCGAUUGUUACAUGCUUCUAUUGCAUGAAAAGAGGUUAUUCUGUGAGGUUCUAUAAAAUCAGAAAACAUGUUGUUCCUAAAGGACUUAUGAAGUGGAUUCCUGAGGGAAAUAAAGCUUUAAUUGAUAAGUAUAAACCAGAUGGAUCCAUAUUCAUAAGGGGACCAAAUCUUUGUACUUGAAAAUUUCUUUUGUAGGAAAUCUUGGAGGAGAGCAAGCAACUAUGGUACUUGGAUAGUGGAUGCUCCAAGCAUAUGACAGGGGACAAAUCAAAGUUCUUGAGUAUCUCCUUCAAGCAAGAGAGACAUGUCACUUAUGGAGACAACAACAAAGGAAGAAUUCUCGGGAGAGGAUCCAUAGGAGAUGAGAACAUCUUGGUAAUCCAUGAUGUACUUUUUGUUGAAGGCCUAAAGCAUAAUAUGCUGAGCAUUAGCCAACUAUGUGACAAGGGGUAUCAAGUGAUGUUCAAGACAAACACAUGUGAAAUCUGUCUACCCAACACCAAAGAGGUAAUGUUGGUAGGUAAGAGAGUUAAUAAUGUGUAUCUUCUAGAUAUCUCUUCACCAUGUUCAAUUGGAUGUCUUCUAUCCAAGCAAGAUGAAUCUUGGCUUUGGCUUAGAAGAAUUGUUCAUAUUCACAUGAAUCAUUUGAACAAGCUAAUUUCAGAGGAUCUUGUGAUUGGGCUGCCAAAACUCAAGUUUGAGAGGGAUCACAUUUGUGAAGCAUGCCAAAAAGGGAAACAAGUUGAUGGAGAUCAAGCUCAAGUGGACAUGGAGGCCAAUCAACAAGAUCAAGAAGAGGUAGAGGCACAAAUAGAAGACGCCCAUGGAGGUCAAAGCCCACCUCAAAGGGUUACAAGAAGCAUGUUCAAAGCUUUAGGAGCUAGGGGACAAUUAUUUUCUCUUUUUGUAAUUUCUUUGGUUGAAGGUGCUUAGAGGGAAACAUUAGAAACCUCUAUUGUUAUAGCAUCUUUUAGGCUUUAGUUAGGAGCUUUAGGAGGGGGGGUGCGUUAGUAGAUAGGUGUAGGAGUAGAAUAGGAGGUGCCAAAGUGAAGGAAGAGGUCACACCUUCCUCAUGCAUUGUUUUUGGCGUCGAUUCUAGAAGCUCUUUAGGAGGGAGUUUUUGAAUUUGUGUAGCUUGCAUUUCAGCACCUUAGGCUAUAAAUAGAGGUGCUCCCUUUGUAUUUUUCAGAUUGGAAUUUAGAGUAAAGAAACUAUACUCAAAUUUUGAGUGAGCAUUGGAGAGCUUUUGAGCCUUCUUCUCUAGUCUUAUCUUGAUGGAUCCAUGGUGUCCUCAAGUGGCGGCAGCACACUAAUCUUGGAGCAGCCAUCCUCCAAGUGGCGUGAUCAAUCACCUACUCUUCCAUCUCCAUAAGUGUUCUUUUCUCUAGCUUUGUUUCUUCUUCAUUUUCAUGUCUAGCGUAAUUGUUCUUGCCUUUUUUGGUUCGGCUAUUUCCAUUUUCCAGCAAGUUAUUCUUCCUUUGUUUGAUUUGGUUCGGUGUGUUUAAUUUCCAACACUUAUAAUUCAGUUUGCUUAUCUUUUGUUCCAUUCUCUUCGGUUCAAUUUGAUCAUAAUUGGAACUUCCAUAUGAGUUUUCGAUUUGGUGCUAGUUUUGGUGAGUUCUUGACUUAGAACAUUGAUCCAAUUCUAAGAAAAGUGCCUAACUAUUGUCCAAUUCAAGUUAAUUCCUAAAAAGAUCAAGAAUCUUUCUCUUCUAUGCUAUUGGAAUCACAUCACAAGUGAAAAGUUCUUUCAAAAUUAAAAAUGUUGUUUCAUCUUUGAGACCUCUUGAACUUCUUCACAUGGGUCUCUUUGGACCCUCAAGAACUAUGAGUCUUGGUGGAAAUUAUUAUGCUCUUGUUAUUGUUGAUGACUUUUCUAGGUACACUUGGACUCUUUUCUUGGAAUCAAAGAGUGAUGCCUUUGCUGCAUUCAAAAAGCUAGCAAGAAGACUACAAAACACAAAGAACAACAACAUAGGUUCUAUAAGGAGUGAUCAGGGAGGAGAAUUUCAGAAUGAAAAGUUUAGCAAAUUCUGUGAGAAGUUGGGAAUUAUGCACAAUUUCUCUGCUCCAAGAACACCACAGCAAAAUGGAGUGGUAGAAAGGAAGAACAUGUCUCUUGAAGAGCUUGCAAGGACAAUGCUUAGUGAAUCAUCACUUCCUAAGUAUUUUUGGGCAGAUGCAGUGAGCACCUCUUGUUAUGUGAUGAAUAGGGUGCUUAUAAGGCCCAUUUUGAAGAAAACUCCAUAUGAACUCUUCAAUGGAAGGAAGCCUAACAUCAGUCACCUCAAAGUCUUUGGCUGCAGCUGUUUCGUUCUCAACAAUGGAAAAGAAAACUUGGGAAAGUUUGAUGAGAAAACAGACCGUGGUAUCUUCAUUGGUUAUUCACUCACAAGUCAUGCAUAUAGAGUAUACAACAAGAGGUUGAUGACUGUAGAAGAAUCAGUUCACGUUGUCUUUGAUGAGGUAGAUCGCAGAGUCAAUCAAAUCCCAAAGACCAGUGCUGAAGAAGAUGAACAGAGCAUCAGUUUGGAGAAGCUGGAAAUCUGUGCAGAAAAACAACUGGUUGAUUCGCAGAACCAACCGAUUGAAAUUCUGCAACUGAGUGAAAGGAGUGGAGGAUUCCUAGAGAUCUGUCAGUGGAUAACAUCAUAGGGCAGAUAAAGGAAGGUGUCUCCACACGUAGCUCCAUCUCAAACUUCUGCAGGCACACAACUUUUGUCUCUCAAAUUGAACCAAAGUCAAUAGAGGAAGCUCUCAAGGAUGAGAAGUGGGUUGAAGCUAUGCAUGAAAGCAAUCUCAAUCUUUGUGAAAGUAAAAUGUUUUCAAACUAAGUUAAAACAACCGAUUGUUUUGUCGAAACAACCGAUUGUUUGUACUUAGGUGUUUUGAGAAAAAGAUUGAAAACUGUUUUUAAAAUGGUUGAAUUGUUAAGUACCAAAACAACCGAUUGAUUCGAGGAAACAACCGAUUGUUUGUUUUGGGACCAUAACAGAAAAACUGUUUUCUGUUUGACUGAGCUUUAAAUGUUUUAACUGCUUACGCUCCAGUCAUUAAAUGCUUUGGCCAAUCUUUUAAUGCAAUUUAAGAGUUUGUUAAGAUUUGAUAACAAACUACAUCUUUGAAUAUAUUCAAAAAAACAUAUUUGACAAUUGAUCUUUGACAAGCUUUUGCUAAGAGUUUUUGAGUUUUUCAAAGAGCUAAGAUUGCUAAGAGUGUGUGAUUGAUCAAAGUUGUGGAAUAGGAUUAUGCUUGUAUUGAUUUCAGAUUAUCUUAUGUAACAAGUGUAAUCCUUGUAUUCUCUGUAAAGACAAGUUUCGUUUCUGUGUUUGCUAAGAUUGGUUGUGUGUCCUUGAGGGGAUCAAGAUUGAAAGUGCGUUUCUUGAGGUGUUCAAGGUCAUUCUCGUGGUUGUUGUGUAAGUGAUCAAGGUGUGGUUGCUUAGU